UACAGAGGUGCCAAGCGUUAGGCGGAAUCACUGGGCCUAAAGCGCGUGUAGGUGGGUCGUUAAGUGUCCGCGUGAAAUCCCACGGCUCAACCGUGGAACUGCCGGGCAUACUGGCGAUCUUGAGGCAUUCAGGGGCGAGCGGAACAAGUGGUGGAGCGGUGAAAUGCGUAGAUAUCACUUGGAACGCCAAUGGUGAAAACAGCUCGCUGGGAAUGAUCUGACACUGAGACGCGAAAGCCAGGGGAGCGAACGGG
rnacentral:rRNA from 1 species